UACGAAGGGUGCAAGCGUUACUCGGAAUUACUGGGCGUAAAGCGUGCGUAGGUGGUUUGUUAAGUCUGUUGUGAAAGCCCCGAGCUUAACUUGGGAACUGCGCUCGAAACUACUUGGCUAGAGUGUGGCAGAGGGAGGUGGAAUUCCACGUGUAGCGGUGAAAUGCGUAGAGAUGUGGAGGAACACCGAUGGCGAAGGCAGCCUCCUGGGCCAACACUGACGCUCAUGCACGAAAGCGUGGGGAGCAAACAGG
rnacentral:rRNA from 1 species